rnacentral:lncRNA from 1 species
CAGAUCCGCCACAAAUAUAGGGAUUCCACUGUUCACACGGACAGAGUCUUCCCUGUAUUUGCACGGCGUCGCACAAGUACAAGAGUACAAACAUAAUACAACCACAACUAAAUGAACAUACAAAACAUCCAACAGUUUUAUAUUCAUACACCAUUCACCACAGGUUCAUUCACAUAGUCUUAAUCAUGAAUCCACAUCUAUCAGUUAAAAUGAUUCUUACCCGGAAACUGGUUUUGAAAAACUAAGUUACAAAAACCACGAGAAAGCUGUUUGAAAGCCGUUAUUCAUAAGGAAACUCUUUUCUUUUAAAACACGCUACCACGAGGGGUAGAAAAUCUUUCCAUUUUAUGAAAAUCCAGAAAUCAUUGUCUCAUUCGGAAAACCAACUGAAAUCUUGAAUAUUUUAACAUAAUGAAAUACUGAACCAUAUAAACCGACUAAGCUAUAUAUCAAUAGAAAUAAUAAGGGCAAAAACUAAACCGAAUAACCUGGGUCGGAAGCUCUAUCGACCGCUAUGAACGUACCUCACGUCUCGUCUCAACCUCAUCGCCCGCAAUACCUGAAAAAUGGUGGGGGAGGUGAGAACAUAUAAACAUGUCUCCCCUUCCAGUGGGUACCGCAAGCCGAUGAAGGCGAGGAGUACUCACCGGAUCAGGAAGAGAUAAACAACAAUAUGGGUAAGUGUAAUACUAAAUACAGUAACAACAAUAAUGAACGAAAGAGAUAGAACUAUAAAUGAAAGCACAACUACCGCUACUGUAAUGAACAACUGAAAGUAUACAUGCAGCUAAACUAUAGUAGCAAGACAAGUGUAAAGAAAGAACUGAAGGUAUACAAACAACAACCGCUACUAUAGCUAUAUGCAAUCGGUCAAGAAGUCCAAAUAUAUCCAAUCUGAUAUCUGCUGCUUUAUUGGUCCGCACCGCAAACCACAAGCCUAUGCCACUACUACUCUCCAAUGUAUAUAACCCCUCUAGGGCUCACGGGUUGACACCUGCAACCACUUUUCCGGAAAAGAACACUCCCUGCGGUGGAUUAGACCGCCAGUGUUCAUGAAAUGCGACGAGUAUCGGGCGGUCAAUGCUGAUAUGCUCAAAGGCCAAACGUCGGCAACCAGCCGACAAUCCUGCCCACAGGGCUCAUCGACCGUAUAGGUCAUCAACUGUAAGGAAGCACAAGAACUGACCACUCAGGUCAACUAGGAUGGGACAACAUCAACAUCCUCUCAAACAUAUGCAAAUACUGCUCAAUGAACCACAAAGACUGACCACUUAGAUCAACUAGGAUAUAUGCACAACGAAUCGACGAAUAGGUCAUCAGGGUGUAUCAAUGGAAUCCAGAACUACCGUCGGCCACUAGCCAACAAUCCAACCCCUCUAGGGUACAUCGACCACAACGGUCAUCGAACGACAGAAGUCAAGGAACCGACCGAAUGUGUCACAAAUACGAGAUACAAGAACAGACCAACUAGGUCACUGAUACGGAGUACGAAAACCAACCAACCAGGUCACUGAUACGAAGUACAAGAAUCGACCAACCAAGUCACUGAUAUGAAGUACAAGAAUCGACNAUAAACAACAAUAUGGGUAAGUGUAAUACUAAAUACAGUAGCAACAAUAAUGAACGAAAGAGAUAGAACUAUAAAUGAAAGCACAACUACCGCUACUGUAAUGAACAACUGAAAGUAUAUAUGCAGCUAAACUAUAGUAACAAGACAAGCGUGAAGAAAGAACUGAAGGUAUACAAACAACAACCGCUACUAUAGCUAUAUGCGUCAAUCGGUCAAGAAGUCCAAAUAUAUCCAAUCUGAAAUCUGUUGCUCUAUUGGUCCACACCGCAAACCUCAAGCCUAUGCCACUACUACUCUCCCAUGCAUAUAACCCCUCUAGGGCUCACGGGUUGACACCUGCAACCACUUUUCCGGAAAAGAACACUCUUUGCGGUGGAUCAGACCGCGAGCGUUCGUGAAAUGCGACGAGUAUCGGGCGGUCAAUGCUGAUAUGCUCAAAGGCCAAACG